rnacentral:rRNA from 1 species
UUCUGGCUCAGGAUGAACGCUAGCUACAGGCUUAACACAUGCAAGUCGAGGGGCAGCAUUGGGAUAGCUUGCUAUCCAGAUGGCGACCGGCGCACGGGUGAGUAACGCGUAUCCAACCUUCCCUACAGUAGGGGAUAGCCCGGCGAAAGUCGGAUUAACACCCUAUGUUCUUCUUUGAUGGCAUCUGACGAGAAGCAAAGGUUUACCGCUAUAGGAUGGGGAUGCGUCUGAUUAGCUUGUCGGCGGGGUAACGGCCCACCGAGGCAGCGAUCAGUAGGGGUUCUGAGAGGAAGGUCCCCACAUUGGUACUGAGACACGGACCAAACUCCUACGGGAGGCAGCAGUGAGGAAUAUUGGUCAAUGGGCGAGAGCCUGAACCAGCCAAGUAGCGUGCAGGAAUGACUGCCCUAUGGGUUGUAAACUGCUUUUAUGCGGGAAUAAAGUCAGGUACGCGUACCUGUUUGUAUGUACCGCAUGAAUAAGGACCGGCUAAUUCCGUGCCAGCAGCAGC